UACAGAGGGUGCGAGCGUUGUCCGGAAUCACUGGGCGUAAAGGGCGCGUAGGCGGCCUGAUAAGUAGGGGGUGAAAUCCUGUGGCUUAACUGCAGGGCUGCCUCCUAGACUGUUAGGCUCGAGCACGGUAGAGGCAGAUGGAAUUCCCGGUGUAGCGGUGGAAUGCGUAGAGAUCGGGAAGAACACCAGUGGCGAAGGCGGCUCACUGGCCCGGUACUGACGCUGAGGUGCGAAAGCGUGGGGAGCAAACAGG
rnacentral:rRNA from 1 species